CACUGUAAACCCUAAUGUUGUAAUUAAUAAAGAAAUCAAGUUAACAUAACUUCACAUUACUUAUAACACCCAGUUUUGCCAUCAAAACUUAAACAGGUGUGUUUAAAUUACUCAUUGGCAGUAAAAAUCUUUUGAAUUAAGAUUUUAAGUGUUAUAAACUCAGAAUUUCCAUUUAUUUAAAUUAUUCGCUACGUCUCUGUUUAAAAAUGAUUGAUCGCGCUUGAAAUUCUGCCUUGACAACAGCGCCGAUUGGCCAAUAUAACACAAGGCGGGAAUUUUUUGUCGAAUUUGCUGAAGACACAGCACUGACUGCAGGUCACAGUCAUUUGCAGGACCACCUGAAAGAAGAAAUAAAUAAUAAAGUUUAAAGUUAAAUAGCUGGCAGCUGCACAAGCAGCCAGACAGGCGUUAAAGCAGGCGGGAAGAGAGUCGUCGUGAAAGACCCAGAGUACGCUGGGACAGUAACAUUGGCAGGCAGGUGGUUAUGAAGCAGACGAGGAGGGGGAAGAGUCGAGGCCACAGGAGUAACGUUACGCUGGUAAAUUUUGCUUUAUUGUCUGUUAAAUAUUUUAUUUUUUUAUACAAAUGGACAAGGUAUAAAUGCGUUUAAGUUAAAAUCCCCUAACUUCCAAACAUAGCCAAUGUUUUACAGACUAGCGCUGUUGUUUACAAUAGGCCUAAGCGUGAUAUUGCGGCUCGAACU